ACCCAUCACGUCUCAGCCUUUGGGUUGAUGC
rnacentral:piRNA from 1 species